rnacentral:rRNA from 1 species
GCGACCGGCGCACGGGUGAGUAACACGUAUCCAACCUGCCGUCUACUCUUGGACAGCCUUCUGAAAGGAAGAUUAAUACAAGAUGGCAUCAUGAGUCCGCACGUUCACAUGAUUAAAGGUAUUCCGGUAGACGAUGGGGAUGCGUUCCAUUAGAUAGUAGGCGGGGUAACGGCCCACCUAGUCUUCGAUGGGUAGGGGUUCUGAGACGGAAGGUCCCCCACAUUGGAACUGAGACACGGUCCAAACUCCUACGGGAGGCAGCAUG